rnacentral:rRNA from 1 species
CGGGUGAGUAACACGUGGAUAACCUACCUAUAAGACUGGGAUAACUUCGGGAAACCGGAGCUAAUACCGGAUAAUAUUUUGAACCGCAUGGUUCAAAAGUGAAAGACGGUCUUGCUGUCACUUAUAGAUGGAUCCGCGCUGCAUUAGCUAGUUGGUAAGGUAACGGCUUACCAAGGCAACGAUGCAUAGCCGGCCUGAGAGGGUGAUCGGCCACACUGGAACUGAGACACGGUCCAG